AUGAGAUUAGCUCAGUUGUUCAGAGCAUGGUGCUGAUAACACCAAGGUUAUGGGUCCAAUCCCCCUAUGAGCUA